AAGAGUAUAGUUUCAGGGAUCACUUCUAUAGUAAUUUCCUAGAGAAAUUUCUCUGAAUGUGUAGAGUACUGCAAACCACCAGGAGGAGAAGCAGUGUUUUCACCUGAGGGUGAAGUCAGCUCUUGGUGUUGGUUUGCUGCAUUUGCCAUUAGUGAUCAUUCUUCUCUUCCUUCAGGACAGUAAGAGAGAGAGAGAGAGAGAGAAUACGGUCUGAAUGGG
rnacentral:snoRNA from 1 species